rnacentral:lncRNA from 1 species
CUCUCUCAUCUCAAUACAAUAACAUCCACGACUACGAUUUCAAUACCCUAUGUAAUUCACGAAUACACAAGCAUAUUCUAAACCCUGGAACGAACAACUUCCAAUCCACAGAAUCUAUUCAAGACAAUUCCUUCAAUUAUAAUUCCUUUCUACUAAACUUACAACCUUGCGAUAAAUAGUGACUGGAAACUUCCAUACGUCCUCAAUCUUUCACAACAAUUGAUAAAUAGUGAUCCAUAAAUAACUUCAUAAAUCAAACAUUAUUUCAUUAAAUUGAUUCU